rnacentral:lncRNA from 1 species
UACCUGAGCACUUCCAUUACUUCAUCUUAGUUGUUCACAGGCUCUGACCCUUUUCCAGAUUAGUGGGAAUCAGAGUACAAGGUAAGUGAUUCUGUAUUCUCUUAUCUACACAUUCAGGACUUGAAAGAGGAGAUUGAUAUUCGACUAUCCAGGGUUCAGGAUAUCAAGUAUGAACCUCAGCUCCUUGCAGAUGACGAUGCAAGACUGCUACAACUGGAAACUCAGGGAAGUCAAAGUAUGUUGCAAGCUCUUGGAGAGCACUUCAGUGAGGAGUCCCACAAGUUCAGAAUUCCUUUACACUUGUUGUAAAUAGCUGCUAACAAAACCUCAGUUAUUCUAGUUGUUGGCUAUGUGUCAGAUGCAGAAAGACAGUUUAUUAGUUUACUGGAGUUUGAGAAUUAUGUCUGAGACUACUCUUUAUUUCAACAGGUUGCUACAACUAUCUGUAUAGGAUGAAAGCUCUGGAUGCUAUCCGUGCUUCUGGUAAGGACACUAGCUAUCAGACUCCAUUCUAGAGCCUAAAAAGCCAUCUAGGGAACAGAGUAAUGAACCCAUUUUAUAUGUUAGGAUUUGUCCUUUUUGUAUAUCUCGACUAGUGGGAAUUUCCUGGAGUUUGGAAAGUACCACUUAAUCUUUUACAUAAGGAAAUUAUGUAGGCAGGUUAGUUCUUCUCCAAAAAGACUAGGGUUUUUUUGUUUGUCUUUUAAGAUUCUUGAGACCUUUAGUUUCCUGAACUGGAAGAUAAUAAUUUGUUUUUCCACAAAGGACUAGUGACAUCUGUUUUUUCAGUAAACCCAAGGCGAAUGAUUCUUGAAUAUUUUUUCCUAUUCUUUGACCACUUGUCAUAUAUGCGUCUAUCUCUAACGAAAAUAUAUAUAUACACACCCACACACACAUAUAUGUACAUAUGUAUGUAUAUAUAUGCACAUUUAUAUGUCAAAUUUACAUAUAUAUAUAUACACACACACACUUUUUAAUAUACGUAAAUUUUUUAAGGAUUGAAUCCAGAGGUGCUUUACCACUGAGCUAUAUCCCCAGCCCUUUGUAUUUUUUAUUUUGAGACAGAUUUGUCUGUUUUUUUUUUAAAUAUUCUAUCUCUUUUUUUUUAAAGAUGGGAUUUACAUCCAGCUCAUAUCACUUGUUUCAUUAGACCUAUUUCUAACUUGGGAAAAUAACUAGAUAUUGUCCCUUUAUCUCCUCAGAGAUCCCAUUUCAUGCUGAAGGCAGGCACCCCUGUUCCUUAAUGGGCAAGAAUUUCCGCUCCUACUUGCUAGAUCUUCGAAACACUAGUACUCCUUUCAAGGGUGUGCGGAAGGCCCUUAUCGAUACCCUGCUGGAUGGCUACGAGACAGCCCGCUACGGGACAGGGGUGAGCUGAAUGGCCAGUUUUUCCUUCAAGUAUCUAAAGGGAUAUGCCAGACUGAGAGAUCCUCAUCUUUUCUCUUUCCUAAGGUGUUUGGCCAGAGUGAGUACCUGCGCUAUCAAGAGGCCCUGAGUGAGCUGGCCACUGUGUGAGUUUGGAGGGGAACAUGUCAAAGGGAGCUGGUUAGAGAAUAUCAGAAGUAUUAGAAGUACUGGACUAUUCCUAAUAUUUAUGCAGUAGCUUUCAUAAAGCAGUAUGAAUGAAUAUCCAUGAUACCAUAAGACUAUUAGAAUUGCCUCUUGCCAAAUUAGAAAGAAGAUGCUACCAUAUAAUAAGAGAAUUUUUUUACUUUAUGUGCAUCUUUUUCUUUUUUUUUCCAGCCCAAUUAAAUGUCAAAAUUGGCAGAACCUAAUGAAGCAUUAAAUGCCACCCAUUUUUAUUACUACUUAAAGCAUUAUAACCUUAUCCGAAACAAAGGUUACCACGAGAGAGUCAGUUUGGGGGUUUUUGUUUGUUUACUUAUUCGUUUUGUUAUUGUUGUUGUUGUUUUGGUACCUGGGAUUGAACUUCAGGGGUGAUUAACCACUGAAUCACAUCCCCAGCCCUUUUUUGUUUUAUUUUGAGACAGGAUCUCACUUAGGACCUAGCUAAGUGGCUAAGACUGACUUUGAACUUGGAAUCCUGCCUCUACCUCUGAAGCCACUGGGAUUACAGGCACGCACCACUGCCCCUGGCGAGGGUCAUGACUUCUGUUUGGGAAUCAUGAUUUUCAUUAACGUGUUAGGAUGUUAACAGGAUAUUACACUUGAUAAUAAUAUCCUAAGAUAUGAAGAUAUUACCUAAGAGAAGGAAGAGGAGUCAUGACUUCUGUUUGAGAAUGUUUUAAAUAUGUACUCAACAUAGUUUCAUUAUGUUGUUUAUGCAUAUGUUUGGUGAAAAAAAAAGAAGGCCAAUUUAGAAUUAAAAACUAGUUACCAUCCAUGAAAAGAAUACAUCUGUUUUCUGUUGUGUUUGGCAUGACUUUCUCAAGACAUAAGGAGUAUGUCUAUUCUGUCUUCUCUCCGUUCUAAAAAUGAACUAUGCUGGGAUUUUUUGGUUGUUUUUGUUUUCUUUUUGGUACUAGGAGUUGAACCCAGGGGUGCUCUACCACUGAGCUAUACCCCUGUUUUUAUUUGGGGAAAGGUUCUCACCAAGUUGCCCAGCGGUCCUCAAACUUGGGAUCCUUCUGCCUCAGCCUUGUGAGUAGCUGGGGUUAGAAGCAUGUGCUACCACACCUAGCCUGAACUACCUUGUUCUCAAAGAAAGGUGCGGUGAAAACUUUUGAUUAGAGCAGUAAUGAAAAUGAUCACCACCAGGUGUAAUCCCAGCAGCUGGAGGCAGAGGCAGGAAGAUUGCAAGUUGAAAGCCAGCCUCAGCAACGUAGUGAUGCCCUAAGCAACUUAGUGAGACCCUGACUCUAAAUAAAAUAUAAAAAGGGCUGGGGAUGUAGCUCAGUGGUUAAGCACCCCUGGGUUCAAUCCCUGGUACCAAAGAAAAAGGCAGCAACAAGCUGGAAAAAAAUGUUUGGAGUUAGGCAGGAAAUCUGUUUUAAAAUCUUCUGGAAGAUAAAUACAAAUUCCACUUGUAUAGGAUUCCUAGGAAGUCAAAUUCAGAGACAGAAAGUAGAAUGGUGGUUGCCAGGCGUUGGGGAAAGGGGAAAAGAAAACUAGUUUAAUGAGCAUAGACUUGCAAGAUGAAAAGUGUUAAUUGGAGGUUAGUCGUGCAAUAUUGUGAAUGUACUUGAAGCUACUGAAAUAUGUUUUCAAAUGGUUAAAUGAUAAGUUUUAUGCAUAUAUUAUUACAGUUUUUUUUAAAUUUUUUAUUUUGGCUUCUAGAAAGCUUCAGUUGGUAUAGUAAAAAGAAUAUAGGCUUUGCAGUCUGACAACCUUAGGUUCAAAUACCCAGUCUGUCAUUUAAUAGCUUUGUGACCUCAUACAGGUUAAUUAUUGGACCCUCCAUUUCUUAACCUGCACAACUAGGCAAUACAAAAAUAUAGAGGGUGAUGUUAGUAAAUUAGAUGUAAACCACCAAGUGUAAUGUACUAACAUGUCAAGUACCCAAUAGCUGCUUCUGUUCUUAUUUUUUGAUAUUUAGCUUUCAGGGGACUUUCUUUAGAUUAGGAAUAUGUUCACUACAUAUACACAUUAGGUGAAAUAAGUAAAAUUAAAAGUUUUCUUUAGGGCUGAGGCCCAGAGGCAGAGAGCUUGCCUAGCAUGUGUGAGGCACUGGGUUCGAUCCUCAGCACCACAUAAAAAUAAACAAGUAAAAUAAAGGCAUGCUGUCCAUCUACAACUACAAAAAAAAAAAAAGAACGAACUUUUUUUUUUCUUUUUUAGUUAAACAUGGUGUCAGGAAGAAAAAAAAUUGAGCCAGAACUCAGUAGGAAAUUGGUUUCUUUGCUACUUCUUACCUUCUUUGUUUUUUAAUGACACUGAAGAUUAAACUCAUGGGUACUCUACUGCUAUGCUACAUCCCCAGCCCUUUUUGAAAUUUUUUUAUUUUGAGACAGAGUCUUGCAAAGUUGCCAAGGUUGGCCCCACUUGUGAUCCUCCUGUGUUAGCCUCCUGAAUGUAACUACAGGUGUGAACUACCACAUUUUACUGGUUUCUUUAUUUCUAAGCUCUCAGAUAGGCUUUUAGUAACUAGUUUAUAAGAUAGGUCAGAGACCAUUUGUGGCUACAUUUAUGGGAAAGGAAAGGACCUGAAUUGUAUUCUUCUGCUAGUCCUCAUUCUGUCCAUAACCUCCCCUCUUUGUAUUCUUUAGGGUCAAAGCACGAGUUGGGAGCUCUCAGCGACAGCACCAGUCAGCAGCCAAAGACCUAACUCAGUCCCCUGAAGUCUCCCCAACUACUAUCCAGGUGACAUACCUUCCCUCCAGUCAGAAGAGUAAACGUGCCAAGCAUUUCCUCGAAUUGAAGAGCUUUAAGGAUAACUAUAACACAUUGGAGAGCACUCUGUGAUGGAGCUGAAGGACUCUCGCUGCAGACUGAGCCAGACAUCUGUGAUGUCUACUGGGCAGCCCUCAGGAAAUCUGGCUCAGCAGGCCCAGGCUGUUUUAGCCAAAGCUCCUGCUGUGUCCAGGGUUCUUAGAGCUUGUGUCUGAAAGGUCAUUCCCCAACUUUUUCUUACAGGCAUUUUCAGAAUAUCAGAUAAGAUUUUAUUUUCCCCUCAGUAGAAUUUUUUUUUUUUCUUCUGUGUUUGAAUUCAGAUGUCAUUCUUAUUUCUGUCACAAGUUUUCUUAAAAAUCUUCACUUGUUUUUGGCCAUAGUCCACCUAUUUAAUCCCAAAGGUGAAAAGUAAGGUAUCUUCCAUGUCUGUCCCAUUGUUCUCAAUUGAGUGGGAACUGCUUGGUUUUAGGGUGUCUUGGAGUUGUUUAGUGGAAGAGGUGGGCAGGAUCAGGGGUGGGGUGAGGAAGUGUGUGGUAUGUGUAACAACUUACCCUGAAACUCCAUUUAAAUCAGGAUGUGUUGAAACAUUAACACAACUUUCCUCGUGUGCACUGAUCUGCCUUUCCACCUUCAUUCAACCCUCUUUAUAAAUAAAUGAACAAAAGGGAAUGUUCUGACACCUGGAAUAAUCUAUGCCGAGAUGCAAGAUGAUAUGGAGGAAUGGUUUCCCCUAAUAAGGCAGUGUACUGGUAUGGUUUUAUGGAUUAGUUAUUUAAUAAAAUGAACCAUUAAAAAACAGAACAUAUGA